rnacentral:rRNA from 1 species
CCUACGGGGUGCAGCAGUGGGGAAUAUUGGACAAUGGGGGGAACCCUGAUCCAGCGACGCCGCGUGAGUGAAGAAGUAUUUCGGUAUGUAAAGCUCUAUCAGCAGGGAAGAAAGAAAUGACGGUACCUGACUAAGAAGCCCCGGCUAACUACGUGCCAGCAGCCGCGGUAAUACGUAGGGGGCAAGCGUUAUCCGGAUUUAAUGGGUGUAAAGGGAGCGUAGACGGCGAUGCAAGUCUGAAGUGAAAGGCGGGGGGCCAACCCCCGGACUGCUGUGGAAACUGGAGGGCUGGAGUGCAGGAGAGGUAAGUGGAAUUCCUGGGGUAGCGGUGAAAUGCGUAGAUAUUAGGAGGAACACCAGUGGCGAAGGCGGCUUACUGGACUGUAACUGACGUUGAGGCUCGAAAGCGUGGGGAGCAAACAGGACUAGAUACCCUUGUAGUC